rnacentral:misc_RNA from 1 species
CUCUUUCUAUCAAACACACACAACAGAGGGUGCGUUCACAAUUCUUCCAUUGGUUGAUAUUGGUAGAAAAAUCUACCAUUGGCAAAACAUUGGUACCAAAGUAUGUCAAUGGUAAUUUUUAUUGGUAACCGAUUCUGCAGGCCAACCACAUUCGCGGUAGAUUUACCAACGCGGGAUUUUCGUUAAUUAGUGUCACCGAUAAAAAUGGCGACGAACGUGCCUAGUAGCGUGUGCGACAUUUCGUCGCAAAUUAUUCCACUCCAAAUGAAAAUUAGAGAGAAAAUUGCAAAAUUUCUAAUAAGAGGAAAGGACGUGAAAUAUCUAUCUGAUCGAAGUACAUCUGUUUAUUUUACCACACAAAGGAAGAGAGAUCGACUUCCACAUCCACUUGAUAUCGACCCUGGUAUCUCUGAAAAUACAAGACCAAAAAGUGCAGAUUCUGAUAAAACCCCGCUAGAGGAGAAAGAGGAACUCAAAAGUAAAAGUUUUGUUGCAGAAUUAUCAAGUGAAACUGAACCAGUUAACAAUUACAUUAAAAUUGUAGAUGAGAAUUGUAGAGUGAUGUGUGAUGUAGGAAAAACAUGUAUGAAAAGAAAAGUCAACGACACAGAAAUUUCAGCAGCUACACUCCCAAUGAAUAAACAUUUAAAGCAAUCAGUUUCUUUAAAAGAUGAUACAAACAUAUCUUAUGAUGCAAGCCUACAGAGGUUUGACUGUGAGGAAAGUAAUAAUAAAGAUUUUAUACUGAUAUUAGACUGUCAUGAACUGGAAAUACAAAGUGUAUCAGAGACAGAGGUUACUAUAAGCAUUGAUGCACAAACACUAAGCUCACCCCACUGGUCAACAGAUGAGGGACAGACAUCAGAGAACUCGCUUCAGUAUGAUUUGGGAGACCAGUGUUUAAAAAUUAAGGUUCCAUGUCAGAAGGAUUCUGAGGACAAUCUCAGAGCAAUCAAAAUAUCGUACAAAACAACCACAGACGGUCUGUCUCUGAAAUGGACCAAGGAUCAGGAUGGCAAAAAAGCAGAAGUUACAGCAUCAGAGUUGUCCUUAGUUUGGUUAAAAUGCUCAGGGAUACCCUCAGGCAUAGGGGUGUACCUUUAUGGUGAAAUGAUGUUAAGUGGAAGGAAAGUGUUGAUUGACCUGGCACACAAGUGUUUCCAACAACUUCAGCACAAUAUGAGCACAGACAAUUACAACACAGUCCAUUCCAUGCUGUUUGGGGACUGAAGAGCACAGACAAUUACAACUCAGUCCAUUCCAUGCUGUGUGGGGACUGAAGAGCACAGACAAUUACAACACAGUCCAUUCCAUGCUGUGUGGGGACUGAAGAGCACAGACAAUUACAACACAGUCCAUUCCAUGCUGUUUGGGGACUGAAGAGCACAGACAAUUACAACUCAGUCCAUU